AAAAUGAAUAGAUCUCUCCAUAGAAAAAAAGCUCUCUCGCUCUCUCUCAUAUCUAAAUCCUUCAUCGUCCCCGAUCUUUAAUGGUAUCACCACCACAAGCGCAUCUCUAUCUCUCCUCUCUCAGAUCUGAAUCCUUAGUUUCCGAUCUCUAAUGGCGGCACCACCACCAGAUGACACUUUUGUCGACAAAGAUCAACUGCGCAAAACCUAAUUUGAGCAAUUAUAUCCUCUAACGUGUUCUUUUCGGCUUGAUUUCAGUUUAAUUCCUCUUCUUCUCUGUUAUCACCAGCCAAUGUCGUUGCUAAUGCUUUACUAUUUUGUUUCAGCGUUCCGAAGUCAAAGCAACGGCAAAUCGAGAAAUCAUUUGAGGAGUCCCCUUUUGCGAAACAAUAACCUCAUAUCUCCCCCUUAUAAACAGAAAUUAUUAUUGAUUUAAUUUUAAUUCGAAAAGUGUUGGUUUUACCAGUAUACCCCAACCGAAAUCUAAAUAUUACAACCAAAACCUGGAUCUAUUCGAACCAGACCCGAACCAGACUCGACCCACCCAUAACCCGAAAUCUCUUCUCUCGAUUCUCUGCGUUUUAGUUUUUUUUUUUUAAAUCGAAAACUCAAACUCAUAUCUCCCCAAUUCCCCCAAUUCAAACCCUAACCGUUAUCUCUUGCAACUUCUUCUCCUCUUCAAAUCUCCGAGAUCUUCCCAGAAACGGUAAUUGAGAGAUUGCGAUCUCGAUUGCGAAAUCACACUACAAGAAAUUUGGUCAUUGGUAGCAUAUCAUUGUAGCACUAAUUCACUAACUGCUACUAAAAGUGACAAUAUCGGAUGGCAACUAUAUUGUAGCAUUAAGUUAGUGCUGGGAAAGAAUUUCAUUAAGCGGGAACCCAAAAAUUACUACUGUAGCAGAGAAAAUCAUUUUAGAGGCAAAACACUUGGCCAAAACUUUGUUUUUCCGCGACUCUCACAAAAGCAAACACUUAGGUCAUUUUUUUUUGAAAAUCUAAACCUUCGCUGACACCACGAAUUCGGUUUCCGGUCACCAGUAAACCCAAUUCCGGUCAUUCCUCAACCUUCGUCGCUUCGAUUCACUCGAUUUCAAGUCAUUUAUCAACCUUCGACGCCUCGAUUUAUCUCUGGUUUCGAAAAGGAAAUCAACUCUUUAGUUGGUGUCGUCUGCGUCGUCGUCGCUGAGUUGGUGUCGUCUCCGUAGCUCUAUUCCACCUGCAAUAUCGAAAAAGAAACCCACGACAGCAAGAAUCGAAGCCCUAGAGAAAUCUUUGAGGACCUAACACGAAUAUAAGAAAGAGAAUCAAUCUCCUUUACAAUCUUCAUGUUAUGGCUCUUAAAUUCGUUUGAAAUCUGGUUUUGUUUUUUGUUUUCUGCAAUAGAAAUCGAUACAUACAUUCAGAAGAUAAUCUUCAAAUAAGGGUUCUUAGCUUCAGCUAUUAGUUUGCAGGUUUGAUCUUUUUGCUGAGGUGAAGACGACAAAAACUCACAAAACCAAACUUCAUAAGCUUAAAGCAGCUUGUCUUGUUUGCAGGUACUUAUCAUGGGAUGAUUAUUUCAUGGCGAUUGCUUUCCUUUCUGCAGAACGAUCAAGGAUCCUAACAGGCAGGUUGGUGCGUGUUUGGUGAGCCAAAAUGGUGUCAUUCUGGGGAUUGGCUAUAAUGGUUUUCCAAGAGGCUGCUCUGAUGACAAACUUCCUUGGGCCAAGAAAUCAAGAACUGGGGACCCAUUAGAGACCAAGUAUCCAUAAGU